rnacentral:rRNA from 1 species
CUUGUAGGCGGUUUGUCGCGUCUGCUGUGAAAUUUCGGGGCUCAACCCCGAACUUGCAGUGGGUACGGGCAGACUAGAGUGUGGUAGGGGAGACUGGAAUUCCUGGUGUAGCGGUGAAAUGCGUAGAUAUGUGGAGGAACACCAGUGGCGAAGGCGACUUUCUGGUCUGUAACUGACGCUGAGGCGCGAAAGCGUGGGGAGCAAACA